rnacentral:rRNA from 1 species
UACGUAGGGUGCGAGCGUUGUCCGGAAUUAUUGGGCGUAAAGAGCUUGUAGGCGGUCUGUCGCGUCUGCUGUGAAAUCCGGGCUCAACCCGGACUUGCAGUGGGUACGGCAGACUAGAGUGUGGUAGGGAGACUGGAAUUCCUGGUGUAGCGGUGAAAUGCGCAGAUAUCAGGAGGAACACCGGUGGCGAAGGCGGUCUCUGGGCCGAUGACUGACGCUGAGGAGCGAAAGCGUGGGAGCGAACAGG